GUCUCCAGCCUUGCCACCUCGAACGCGCCCAAUCUCAUCUGAGGUCGGAAGCUAAGCAGGGUCCGGCCUGGUUAGUCCGCAGAUGGGAGAAAUUACAAGUAAAUGGAAAGG
ensembl:rRNA 5S_rRNA 5S ribosomal RNA